rnacentral:RNase_P_RNA from 13 species
UCCAGCAAAAAAACAAAGAAAGCAAGAAAGAAAAUGGGAGGGAGGAAGAGAUAAAAAGGAAUGGAGAAAUUUCAUCUUCCCUUUCUCCCACACCUCCUUCUCCUUCUUCACUUUCUUCUCUUCGCCCUUCUCCUUUCUCUUCUCCUCACAAUGGCAUUUCUUCUCAACCACAAGCUGUCGAUGAAAAUACUGCAGUUUACAAUGUGAAAUUA